rnacentral:tRNA from 1 species
GGAUACGUGGCUCAGUGGUAGAGUGCUUGCCUCACAUGCAUGAGGCCCUGAGUUCCAUUCCUCAGCACCA